rnacentral:misc_RNA from 1 species
AAAGUCGUAACAAGGUUUCCGUAGGUGAACCUGCGGAAGGAUCAUUAACGGAUCAUUAGCGUGAUCUUGUUGCUGGAUUCAAUUUGAAUCUGGCUUUCUCAUGAUUAUUCACUGUGUGCACGAUAUUGAAAUAUUUGAUUUUUGGCAGACAAGAUGGGAGAGAAAUUUUUUUUUCUUUUUCCAAGUCUGCCAAAAGUUUUUUAAAAAUAAGCCUGAUGAUUUUGACUGAAAUUUUUUUAUUAUAAAUAAUAUAAUACAACUUUCAACAACGGAUCUCUUGGCUCUC